rnacentral:rRNA from 1 species
UACGUAGGGUCCGAGCGUUGUCCGGAAUUACUGGGCGUAAAGAGCUCGUAGGUGGUUUGUCGCGUUGUUCGUGAAAACUCACAGCUUAACUGUGGGCGUGCGGGCGAUACGGGCAGACUGGAGUACUGCAGGGGAGACUGGAAUUCCUGGUGUAGCGGUGGAAUGCGCAGAUAUCAGGAGGAACACCGGUGGCGAAGGCGGGUCUCUGGGCAGUAACUGACGCUCAGGCACGAAAGCCAGGGGAGCAAACGGG